rnacentral:lncRNA from 1 species
GGACCCAGAGUGUUGCCAGGGGUGAGCUGCAGGUGCUGUGGUAAGAGAGCAGUGAGUAUGAGUUCAAGGAACAUUCUUAUACUUAGAGCUUGAGAACACCAUCAUUUAUCGACACUGCUGUAAUUGGGAAGAGGGCAUGUGUAAUGAAGCCUCACACUGGAAGGGACAAGAUAAAGGAAGCAAGAGCCAUAGAUAAACAUCUCCCUUGCAGCUGCAGUGGGAUGAAGAAUUGGAAGUGGAACAAAUAGCAGUGAUGGCCAAAGCAAACAGUAGCUUACACAUAUUAAUUGAAUGUUUAAUUAUUAACAAUUUG